rnacentral:rRNA from 1 species
CCCUUAGAUGUCCUGGGCCGCACGCGCGCUACACUGAGUGUCUGAGAUACGAGUCUGCCUGGUCCGGCAAGGUCUAGGUAAUCGCUAAAAGACACAUCAUGCUUGGGAUAGAUUAUUGCUAAUAUUAAUCUUGAACGAGGAAUUCCUAGUAAGCGCAAGUCAACAGCUUGCGUUGAUUACGUCCCUGCCCUUUGUACACACCGCCCGUCGCUACUACUGAUUGGAUGUUUAAGCGAGGUUCUCGAACUGCUAGCGACUUAGCUUCGGUGAGGUCGCAGUGUGGGAAGUGAACCUAGCUUUGGUGUCUAGAGGAAGUAAAAGUCGUAACA